CUAGGAUGAACGCUGGCGGCGUAGCUUAACACAUGCAAGUCGAACGGAGUUUAAGGAGCUUGCUCUUAAACUAGUGGCGGACGGGUGAGUAACGCGUGGGUAACCUGCCUUUCACUGGGGGAUAACAGUUAGAAAUGACUGCUAAUACCGCAUAAGGCGCACAGGUUCGCAUGAACUAGUGUGAAAAACUCCGGUGGUGAAAGAUGGACCCGCGUCUGAUUAGCUAGUUGGUGAGGUAACGGCCCACCCAAGGCGACGAUCAGUAGCCGGCCUGAGAGGGUGAACGGCCACAUUGGGACUGAGACACGGCCCAAACUCCUACGGGAGGCAGCAGUGGGGAAUAUUGCACAAUGGGGGAAACCCUGAUGCAGCGACGCCGCGUGAGUGAAGAAGUAUUUCGGUAUGUAAAGCUCUAUCAGCAGGGAAGAAAAUGACGGUACCUGACUAAGAAGCCCCGGCUAACUACGUGCCAGCCGCCGC
rnacentral:rRNA from 1 species